UCCAACUCCUCUCUCUCCCUCUCUUCCCCCCUCCCUUCUUUCCUUCGUUUUUUCCCAGUAUUAAGGGCUAGAUCUCGACCUCUCUAUUCCCUCUUCUUCUUACUUCUGUCACUUUGAUUUAUGAUCGCUGCUUCAAGUUCAUUUGGAGUUAUAUUCUUUUAUGUUUUUGUCCGCUCUGUUUCUCUAAUGGUUGUUGUUAAUUUCGAAGAUUUUUUUGUUUAUUUGUUCGAUUUCCAAUUUCUUUUCUUUACGGAUUCUUUUUUGAUGGUUGCCAGUUUGUUUUAAUUUUUUUCUAAGGGAAAAGAUAUCUUCUUUUUCUUGUUUCCGAAUUUCCUCUUCUUUUUUUUUCCCUACUUGUAACUAUAUCUAUAUAACCCACAAAAAAAAAUCUAGAAACCCCAAAACCAUGAAUUACAAAAAAAGAGAGAGAGGCAGAGAUGUUGGUUUUGAGUGAUUUUGUUUUCUUCAUAAAUUUCUGGGUUUUACUGUUCUUCAGAGGUAUAUACAGGGUUCUUUUGUGUAGGGAUCCUUGGAAACCAUUUGUUAGUUGCCACUUAUACUUAAAAAGUAGAUACAUAGAUCUCUCUCAGUCUGAGCUCUGUUGCUCUCGUGCUCUCUCCUUGCUCCAACUUUUGUCUCUACCUUUUACUGAAUUCAUGUAACAAGUCUUUUCAACAAUCGAAUAUGCAUGGACAUGGAUCGACAACAUUCAACUGUCAUUGUUUGCAGGUGCAGCAUCAUCAAGAUUCACAUUCAAAUAGAUGUACCGAAGCUAUACAGCUAUGUAGCUAGCUAGCAAUGUAUAAUCAUUGUAGGUGAGAAUCUUGAUGAUGCUGCAUCAGCCAUAAAUGACUAUAUAUACAUAUAUCCCUGAAGUAGUUGGAUCUACGUUUUUCCGCUUCUGAACAAGAGCUUAGAGUUUCCGUAUAUGCAUAUCCAAGCUUGAUCGUGGAGCAACCUACAAGUAAUGGUGGAGAGCUUCUUGACACACUCACUCCUUUUCAUAUGGCUAGCUCCUUCACAUAUACAAUCAACAAGAUGAUCAUUCCUCGUUAAGCGUGCUCCCUUGAAACAUAUGAUUAAGCAACCACAUUUCAUUUGCUGCAUUAAUUCGUUUCUCUUUUGUUCCCUUCAUGAUUCCAGAUUCUAUGUAAACUACUAUUCCUUGUGGAUCAGUCAAAGGAAAAAACAAAUGCGACGCAUUUCUAUGAUCUUUCAUUUUGCCUGUUUAGUAUUUUCAUAUACAUUACUUGCUUUACUCACCAUGAACAUGCAUGUCCAAGCAGCUUGCAGUACGUAUACAUAUAAAUAUGCUUUUGUUGUUUCCUCUAUUUUUGUCCGAAUCUGAACCAUUGCAUAAAUAAUAUUUUAUUUGGGUAUCUUGCAGUCAUUUCCUAUAGAUCCCAUCCUUCUCAUUUUGGAGACCUUCUAAAGGAAUCUGUAACGAACUCUAUGUUGAGCUUUAAUGUGCAUGAAGAAUAUGGAAGAGAACACAUUAUUAUUCAAUUAAUUCACACAGUAUCCCUUAAGGACAUUUUUACAGUCAGACUUAAGGUGACUGAAUGUCCCACACGCAAAACGGACAAUAAAACAAUAGAGAGCGUUAGCUAGCUGUAACUCAGCGAGAAAAAAGAACAUUAUUAUGAUUCUAAGUGACUUGCAUUGUUUUUCCACCUUAUUCGUGUAGUGAACAUGGGCUCAUGGUAAUUUUUGGACAGACUACAGAGUUUAAUUGUUAAGAUAUAUAGGGUAUAUAUAUUCUCACCAAUUAAUUGGUUUAGGACUACUUAAUUCCUACUUGAGUUUAGCCUGUUAAUUAGGCAGGAGAUAUUAAGAUUUUUCCAUCAAAAUUUUGUGAUCAUCUGUAUUAUGAUAUGCGUAUAAGUAUAUUGUAUAUUGCAGAAGCUGCAACAAAGAGAAUCAUCUUAAUUCUUGGAGUUGCAUUAAUGUUUGAACUUCUGCUUGACAUUUUUUCUCAAUGGGACUAAUACAGGUCAGUGGCUCAGGUAAUCUAAUUUUGUUUUCUGGUGGUGUAAUUCCAGUUGGAUAUGACUUAGACAGAACCAAAAGAGUGCUCCUGUGUCUGUGAUCUAAUACAGGUAUUUCUUUAACAGUCAUGGAUUUGAAGAAGAAUCUUAAGCCAUGUCAUGUGGGGGCACUUUGAGACAAAAACUGGUGUCAAUUGACAUGUGAAAGGCGAGAGUAGAGAAUCAUUCUUUCUUGUUAAGGUCCACUGGUACAUAGGGGGAAAAUCAAUAGUAUAGUCUACCAUGUGAUCAUAGCAAAUCAACUUUGCUACGAAUGCUUGUUUGCAUUUGAACAUAAUGCAAUUUUGGAUGUGCA